rnacentral:rRNA from 1 species
UACGUAGGGGGCAAGCGUUGUCCGGAAUUAUUGGGCGUAAAGGGCGUGUAGGCGGUAUAAUAAGUCAGAUGUGAAAGUUCGGGGCUUAACCCCGGAAUUGCAUUUGAAACUGUAAUACUUGAGUACUGGAGAGGUAAGUGGAAUUCCUAGUGUAGCGGUGAAAUGCGUAGAUAUUAGGAGGAACACCAGUGGCGAAGGCGGUUGCCUGGAGCUUUGCUGACGCUGAGGCGCGAAAGCGUGGGGAGCGAUCCGG